CCUGCGGAAGGAUCAUUACCGAGUUCUCGGGCUUCGGCUCGAAUCUCCCACCCUUUGUGAACAUACCUCUGUUGCUUUGGCGGCUCUUUGCCGCGAGGAGGCCCUCGCGGGCCCCCCCGCGCGCUUUCCGCCAGAGGACCUUCAAACUCCAGUCAGUAAACGUCGACGUCUGAUAAACAAGUUAAUAAACUA
rnacentral:rRNA from 1 species